UACAGAGGUCUCAAGCGUUGUUCGGAUUCAUUGGGCGUAAAGGGUGCGUAGGCGGCGCGGUAAGUCGGGUGUGAAAUCUUGGAGCUUAACUCCGAAACUGCAUUCGAUACUGCCGUGCUUGAGGACUGGAGAGGAGACUGGAAUUUACGGUGUAGCGGUGAAAUGCGUAGAUAUCGUAAGGAAGACCAGUGGCGAAGGCGGGUCUCUGGACAGUUCCUGACGCUGAGGCACGAAAGGCCAGGGGAGGCAAAACGGGG
rnacentral:rRNA from 1 species